AGAGUCCUGCUGCUAAGAGAACCAUGGAUGGCUUGUGAUUGUGAGGCAGUGCAGAGACGUGCUGCCUCCACACCUUUCCUGAUGCUGAGGACCAGCUGCUGUAUCAAAUUCUAUUAGAGGAGCAAACACCAUACCAUAUCUCCCUAAAGCAUCUUGCAUCUAUCCACUCAAUGUAUAACAGGAAUGAAGGAGAAGUCGAUUAGUUGCUGUUAAUGGUGGUGUGGAGACCAGAGAAGUUCCUCUCCUACUGUAGGAUUUUGAUAUUCCACAUAAUUUUUAUUAAGAUCUUUAGUUUGUUUGGUUUCAGAGGCAAAGGAUUUGAUUUGUAAAUUCUGGGAUGAGGAAAUCGCAGCACAUGGGAAACUUUUCCAGAUGUUCUCUAAAGAUAGACAUUUACUAUUUCCAAGGAGGUGGCUUAUUAGCAAGUUCUCCCUCUAUUUCCAGUUAUUAUAACGAUGAGAUUCACAUACUAGUGGAAAGGACUUAAAGAACUGAUGAUAUCAUAAAAGAGUGGAAACAUUUAAUUUAUUUUUAUCCCAUUUAUCUAGAGUAUGUUUAGCAAGGGGAGUGCAAUAACAUUGUUGGUUUUUUUCUGCUUUAGACAUGCAGAUGGCAUUGCCAUUUGGAAAACGACAGAUAUAGCUUUGCUCAGGAUCCACCUGUGAUGGGGUACACAAACCCCACAGUGGAAAAGAAGGGAGCAACUCUGGGCCCAGAGGGUUCCACCCUGCAGCACGUGCAAAGCCUGCACAAGCUGCAGGCGGAACUUAAAAAGGGAAGCAGAGCAGCUCAGGAGGGAGGCAGUCGGUGGAAGGGGGCAGACCUGUGACCUUGGGAAGAACUCUUGCUGCCUGAUGCCUGGAGAUACUGAUUCAACCAAGCUUGAAAAAGAGAGACUGGUGACACUUGAAGAUGAGAAACCUAAAUUUUGUGUUCAGUUCUUUACUUUACCCUGGGAGAAGAGGGGACACUGGUGGGAGUACCUUCAGGGAGGCAGUUGCACAGCACCCCAAAAUACAGGGCUUAACUGCCUACCAUUGGGCCACUGGUUCAGAGCCUGGUGAAGAGUGUGGGCCCAGGUGCAAGAGUCCAGACUCUAAGACCCCGAUCCCGAAGAGAAGCCCUGAAGCCCUUGCUGAUUUCUGAAGACUUACACAUUUAUGGAAAGGGGUGGACUUGAAUGUGUGACCCAGCUGGAGGGCUGAGUUGCGAAAAGGACAGUGCUCCACACGGUGGAGCUAUUGUGAAAAAGGAUACACCUGAGACAACCUGGCAUACCUCACCCUGACCAGUAGGGAUCACUGCCACUGUGUACCUCCGACAGUAUGUACCACCCUUCACACCACCCAAAGUUUAUCCACUGGACUCCAAAUAUUAUACCCUCUGUUCCUGAGCUGUGGGGUGCACAGCUGGGAGUGAUUAACUGACUUUGCACAUUUUAUUUUGUUGGGUUAUUUUAAGAUUUUACAAUUUAAAAUAAUGUUAUUUUGUUCAGAAAUAACAGAGCUAUCCUAUAAAACUGAGAACAUAGAAGAGAUAUUACAACAUAACCAUAGGAAAAUAACAUUCAUGCAGGUAUAUGGCAAAAAGAAGAAGAGAAGAUCUCACAGACAAAAAGAGGUCCACAUGUGUGAGAAGACCACACCUGUGUCACAAUAAUCCAGCUGCUCCAGUGCCUAUUUUACUAUCACUGCAAGACCAAAACAGAAGCAAAUUAUGCAUUGAUAAUUGAUAUAGAAUUUCUUGAUUCAAAAUUCAUGACAAAUAAUUAAUUUUUAAAAAUCCAGAGUUAAAUUAAAGCAGUUAUCCAUAUCUAUUGUUUCAAUGGGUGAAGGUUGGUUUACUAUACUAUUUGGUACUGUUUAAGCAUCUGUUUAGUUGUCUGACAUAAGUAGCUUUUUGACAUCAGCAAACAUGAACAAAAUCUGUCAUCUGUUGCACUGGAAUAUUAUUUUUGUGAGAUGUUUAUCAGAAUUAAUCAGAACAAUAUUAAAUAAAGU